UGUGCGCGCGCGCGCGUGUGCGCGUGGCUGCUGGUGUAGGGGUGUGUGCUUCAGAGACUGAAUAGGAGUGUGAGAGAUGAGUGUGUGCGUGCUUGAGAGGUGAGUAUGAAGUAGUGAAGGCACGUUCUUCAGCCACGUAGGGCUGUCAAGAGAUUAUACGAGAACUUUAAAGACGGAACAUAUGAAAGUGCCCUUAAUGAUAGCAUGUUUGUUUGCGAGGGUGCCUGUGUUUUUUUUCUGUGCGAAUGUGUCAGUCCAGUCUCCAGCGGUCUCUCGAGCUAUUCAAACCAAGACGAUGUCUUACACCCCGACCUUGAAGAUGCCUGCUGCUGGCAAAAAGACUCCAGCCCCCAGAAUUCUCCACUGAACAUUCUCCUCUGAAUGCUUGAGUACACCCCACACCCCCACCCCUUGUAACAAUCCCUGACCAAUCACCAUGGAGCACUCCAGUCAGCAGCCAGUCACAACUGCAGGACUCUGGAACAAGGCCAUACAUGUCCCUGAUUUGUCUCUCUGUGUCUUCUCUGGAAAAAGUCUGGAUUUUGUUUUCCAACGACUGAAAAAAACUUCUGCAUAGUUUCUCAAUAUGUGCCUUUUGUUUUCUUUGAAAUGCUUUGCAAAAUAAUGUGUAAAAAUGCUUGAAAAAGAGAAACAAGAGAAAGUGUUUGUUGCCUAACACACACUGCUGUACACUACAGUGUUAGAAGUCUCUGUGACACGUACACACUAACAGAAUUGUAAGUGUGUGUGUGUUUGUGUGUGUGAAACUCAAACUCUUUGCCUUGUAUGAAACUCAAACACCCUACUGCCCAAAGCCAUGACGGAACAGAAAUAGUCAAGUUCAUUCUAUUUCUUUAGAGUGCUAAACAGACCCACAGACAAUCCCAGCUUUGAAAAAGUACACACACACACACACACACACACACAGACUCUAAUGCAGUAUAAAACAGCCAUCUUUGCAUAUCUGCUUUGAAAAACCAAAUGAAUAGAUAGCACUCAACAACCUUUGGUCAAGUGAAAACUAAUGAACUACUACGGUGUUGCAAACUAUUAAUUAUAGAUUGUUUGGAAGGGUUGAUUGACAGGUGCUCAGUUGAGUAGAUGUAUGUGUCUGGCUGACCAGAAGGAUACAAACUAAAAGCCCCACAGUGAGGAGGAGGGGGAUGAGUCUCACUUUCUGCACUUUAGGCUGUACUGUUAGAGAUCAGAAAUGAAUACAAAAUAUUAACCCCCCACACACACACACACACUAAUCGCUUUAAACUCAAGCCAGUACUCAAUGCCCUAUGAUUGAUCAUCAAUAUGCACACACACUUUUAAUCCAAACACUCCACAGACAUGCAGACUUACUGCAUGGUUGCCCUGUUUCUGCCCCCCCACAUAGGAAGAGGCAGCAACAGCGCCCUGAAGGGGUGGGGAUGUUAUCCGUGAGGGUCCCUCAGACAUGGCGGCCUUACAGGACUAGAGUCCUCUAUGAUGUCACAUCCUGUUUGUGUCCCGGGGGUGAUAUGUGUGUGCUUUGGCAUUAUUUUAAUUUUUUUUUUGUUAUGUGCUCUUGUUUCUUUUUGGUUUUGUUUGUUUAAAUCCUGUACAAGUCCCUGGCCCUGACACUUACGUGGUCCUCCAGGCUAUCCCAGAAUGCUGGGCGGUAGCAGCCUGGUCUUGGUCAGCAGCUGGUGGUGUGUGGCCUUUAACCAUAAAAAAAAAAAAGCAUUUUGUAUUCAUGUUCUCAAAGAGAUUAAUAAAAAAUCACCUUGUCUUAUUUUGUACAUAAUCAAACUUUAUUUAGGCCUGUCUUGAUUAAGAAUUAUUAUUAAUAAUUGUUGUUAUUUUAUACAUUCUAUACAUCUCUGAGUUCUAUCCCCAUGCAGGAGAGGAGUGUGUAUUGUGUGUGCUAUACUAUGUGUGUGUUAAU
ensembl:lncRNA